UACGAAGGGUGCAAGCGUUACUCGGAAUUACUGGGCGUAAAGCGUGCGUAGGCGGUUUGUUAAGUCUGAUGUGAAAGCCCUGGGCUCAACCUGGGAAUGGCAUUGGAUACUGGCAACCUAGAAUGUGGUAGAGGGUGGCGGAAUUCCCGGUGUAGCAGUGAAAUGCGUAGAUAUCGGGAGGAACACCGGUGGCGAAGGCG
rnacentral:rRNA from 1 species